rnacentral:rRNA from 1 species
CAGCAGCCGCGGUAAUACGUAGGUGGCAAGCGUUGUCCGGAUUUAUUGGGCGUAAAGGGAGCGCAGGUGGUUUCUUAAGUCUGAUGUGAAAGCCCACGGCUUAACCGUGGAGGGUCAUUGGAAACUGGGAAACUUGAGUACAGAAGAGGAAUGUGGAACUCCAUGUGUAGCGGUGGAAUGCGUAGAUAUAUGGAAGAACACCAGUGGCGAAGGCGACAUUCUGGUCUGUUACUGACACUGAGGCUCGAAAGCGUGGGGAGCAAACAGGAUUAGAUACCCUGGUAGUCCACGCCGUAAACGAUGAGUGCUAGGUGUUGGAGGGUUUCCGCCCUUCAGUGCCGCAGCUAACGCAUUAAGCACUCCGCCUGGGGAGUACGACCGCAAGGUUGAAACUUAAAGGAAUUGGCGGG